rnacentral:rRNA from 1 species
AGUGAACGCUGGCGGUAGGCCUAACACAUGCAAGUCGAACGGCAGCACAGUAAGAGCUUGCUCUUACGGGUGGCGAGUGGCGGACGGGUGAGGAAUACAUCGGAAUCUACUUUUUCGUGGGGGAUAACGUAGGGAAACUUACGCUAAUACCGCAUACGACCUACGGGUGAAGGCAGGGGAUCUUCGGACCUUGCGCGAUUGAAUGCGCCGAUGUCGGAUUAGCUAGUUGGCGGGGUAAAGGCCCACCAAGGGGACGAUCCGUAGCUGGUCUGAGAGGAUGAUCAGCCACACUGGAACUGGAACACGGUCCAGACUCCUACGGGAGGCAGCAGUGGGGAAUAUUGGACAAUGGGCGCAAGCCUGAUCCAGCCAUACCGCGUGGGUGAAGAAGGCCUUCGGGUUGUAAAGCCCUUUUGUUGGGAAAGAAAAGCAGCAGGUUAAUACCCCGCUGUUCUGACGGUACCCAAAGAAUAAGCACCGGCUAACUUCGUG